rnacentral:lncRNA from 1 species
AACCAGUUUUAAGGCAAGUGUCCUUGAACAUACUUGCUCCUACAUUUAUUUUAUUUUUGAGUUAGUUUAGCUAGACCAUUAGUUGCAUGCAUAGUCUUAAUUUGAAUCAUAUGUUAUGGUUUACUAGCUUUUGUCACAUUAUCCAUGUAACCUGGUUGGAAUGGAUAAAAGUCAUGCUUAGCCUUGCUGUCAUGGUUAGGUUGGGAAUGUUAUAAAUUACUCCCUUCAUCCUAAAUUGUAAGUCAUUCCAAGAAUCAUAGAAAGUCAAAGCAUCUCAAGUUUGACCAAAUUUAUAUGGUAGGCUAAUAACAUUUAUGAUAUCAACUAAGUAUUAUUAGGUUCUUCAUUAAUUAUAUUUUCAUAGUAUAUCUAUUUGAUGCCACAAAACUUGUAACUUUUUCUAUAAUUUUGGUCAAACUUGAGAUGUUUUGACUCUCCAAGAUUCUUGGAAUGACUUACAAUUUGGGAUGGAGGGAGUAAUAUUGAUUAAUGAUCUAUGGAAUGUGUGAUAAUAAACUUUUUAGCAACAUGGCGACUAGAGAGUCUAAAUAGUAUGGACGGAUUGGUAUGAUGGUUAUUUGGUUUUGGUGUAUUAUGGGGUUUCUAUGGGUUGGUGCACGUACCAGCUUGGAUUCUAAGGACUGGUUCAUGGACAAGUAACCCAGCUUAACCACACAUCCAUGAGGUCAAUAUUGUAAGACCUGGCUAAUUAAUUAGUUUCUCCAAGUUAUGCUACAUCAGGUCUGUUUUAGUGGCUCAAGAGGGGACAUCUGUAGUGGUGUUGGUACCGACUAUUAGCGGUGAAACCUUAGAGAAGGUUUAAGACAGACUUGGAGAGGCUUUGUAAAGGCCUUAUAAUGUGACCCCAUUGAGCACCUAGGUAGUGUGAAGCGUGAUGGGGAAACAUAACUUGUGGUGAUUACGGGAAAAUUUAAGAAUCUAAGAAAAACUCUAAGAGCCUGGAGUAGAUCCCUCUCAAAUUUAAAGUCAACUAUCUCUAACGUGAAGCUGGUUCUAUCCUUGUUGCUUUACAUUGAAGAGUUCAGAGACUUGUCUAUUCCUUAAUGGAACUUUAAGAAAACCCUGGAGCAAAAGCUAUCAUCUCUCCUUCAUCAGCAACAUGUGUAUUGGAAGCAACAAGGUUCAAUUAAAUGGGUUACUCUUGGUGAUGCCAGUACCAAAUUUUUCCAUGCAAAUGCAACUAUUAAAUUCAGAAAUGACCUCAUUACCUUGUUAGAAGACUCUACAAGUCAGGUGGUAACUGACCAUGAAGCCAAGGCAUUUCUUAUCUAGAAUACUUUUAAAGAUAGAUUGGGUUUAUCUUCUUUUACUAUUAUAAAUUUUGAUUUACCAAGUCUUCUUCUAGCCACAUGAGAUCUAUCUUCACUUGUUUCCCCUUUUACUAAAGAAGAAAUUGAUUCAGUAGUCAGGAAGUUACCAUCUGACAAAGCCCCAGGACUAGAUGGCUUUAACACAGACUUUUACAAGAAAUGUUGGCCUCUCAUUUGCAUGGAUUUCUAUGUGUUAUGUCAAGCAACGUAAGGGUUUCAGACUAUAGGCCAGUAUCUCUACUUAAUACUUCUAUCAAGGUUAUCACUAAGGUCCUAGCCAACAGAUUACAGAAGAAAAUGCCCUCAAUCAUCCACAAAAACCAAUAUGGCUUCAUUAAAGCUAGAUCCAUUCAUGUCUGUUUAGCUUGGGCUCUAGAAUAUCUACACCUCUUUGAAAAGAAAUAAUUAUUUUAAAGCUUGACUUUGAAAAAGCUUUUGACAAAGUGGAGCAUGAGUUGAUGUUGCAAAUUAUGCAAAAUAAGGGCUUCCCUAAAAAAUGGAUAUCCUAGAUGAAGCAAAUUUUUACCUCAGGGACCUCAGCAGUUUUGUUAAACGGAGUACCUGGGAAAGUGUUUCACUGUAGAAGAGGAGUUAGACAAGGUGACCCAUUGUCCCCUCUCCUCUUUGUCUUGGCAACUGACUUUCUUCAAACUAUCCUCAAUGUAGCCAAGCAACAAGGUCUUUUAACUCUGCCUCUUGAUCUUCCAAAUGAUCAAGACUUCCCAAUUCUUCAAUAUGCUGAUGACACAUUAAUUUUCCUCCAAGGCAGCACCAAUCAACUCCUAUUCCUCAAAGGUAUUCUUAACAUGUUUGCUGAAUCAACUGGCCUAAAGGUUAAUUAUGAAAAAUCUACGUUGGUCCCAAUCAAUGUUGAUGAUAAUCACCUAAACAUUCUGGAAAACACCUUUGGCUGCACCGUUGGAUAUCUGCCUUUAACAUAUUUAGGAGUCCCAUUGAGUCUAUCAAAACCCAUAGUUGUAGAUUUUUGGCCUUCCAAAUGUGAGAGAGGGAUGGCCAGUAUAUCUUCUUUUCUGAGUGAAGCUGGACGUUUACAACUAAUUAAUGCUGUACUAACAGCCCUCCCAACCUUCUCAAUGUGCACUUUCCUUUUACCCAGAAUUGUAAUCAAGCAAAUUGACAAGUUCAGAAAACACUACUUAUGGAGGGGCUCCAAUCUUAAUCGUAAAAAGCCCCCUAAAGUAGCUUGGGAUUUGGUCUGUGACUCAAAGGAGAAUGGUGGCCUUGGUGUCAUAAAUUUACAAACCCAUAAUGAAAGUUUGCUUCUAAAGCAUUUCCAUAAGUUUUUUUUUUAACAAACUUGAUGUUCCAUGGGUGAAUCUGAUUUGGCAGCAGCAUUAUGGAAAUGGUUUCAAGCACAUUUAGCCUAGAAAAUGCUCCUUUUGGUGGAGAGACAUCCUCAAAUUGUUAGACUCCUACAAAGGAAUAACAUCUGCAAUGAUCACAGAUGGCUCCACUUGUUUCUUCUGGACAGACUUAUGGAAUGGUAACUUGUUUGGCCAUCAAUUUCCUGAGCUACUUUCCUUUUCUAAAGAUAAAUUUAUCACAGUGCAGAAUUUUAUGUCUCUUGAUGACCUGUCUGACCAUUUUCACCUUCCACUAUCCAACGAAGCUUUUGAUCAAUUUACACAGCUAGCCUCUUCUCUGGAUUCUGUCUACUUAUAGCAAGGAAAAGACAUUUGGUCAUAUAUUUGGGGAUCCUCUGAAUUCACUUCCAGCUUAACCUAUGCACAACUUUUGGGAACUAGGCAGGUUUUACGUGUUUAUUCUUGGCUUUGGAAAUCCUCCUGCCAACCUAGGAGGAAAGUCUUUUGCUGGCUACUUCUCAAGGAUAGACGAAUUACAAGGGAACUUCUGAAAAGGAAAACCAUGGUUUUGGAAAGCUAUAGUUGUGUGCUAUGUCACCAAAGUACUGAGGAAUCACUUCAACAUCUAUUUUUUCAUUGUCCUUUUGCUCGGUGUUGCUCGAAUCUAUUGGGAAUGGCUAAUUUAAUUCAAAAUGACACUCUAGCAAUCUUGUCCUUAUUCAGAGUCCAUUUACGAACACCAAUGUUCAUGGAAAUUGUUAUCUCCAUGCUUUGGGCCAUCUAGACGCAGAGAAAUGAUUGCAUCUUCAAAAAUCUACAACACUCCAUUCAGAACUGUAAGACUGUUCUCAAAAAAGAGUUGGCUUGAGUUAAGCUCAGAGCUAAAGAAGACUACAAGCUUUUGUUACAUUCAUGGCUGCAUAGAUUUGUAUAAUUAGUCAUAUUUUCUUUAUUUCCUUCUUUGUUUAUUGAUUAUUUGUACGAAGAUUUAUUUUCAAUAAAAAUCUAGUAGGGGGAAACCUCUCUUGUUUCAUCAAAAAAAAGUGUGCAACCUCUGUACAGUGUAAAACUAGUAUAUCAGUUGUGCUCAUGGUCAAGAGCAGCCUAGAUGGAUCUUUGGUUCAUGGUUGGGUGGUUCCCUUGGUAACAGAAUAAGUGUUUCAGUUAGGAGCUUGGACGAAUCCAAGUGUGGUGCUCGGAUGGGAUCCGAGGGUUGGUUCAAGGGGUUCUCUAAGGAGAAGACAAAUCUCACCUAGUUAAAUAGGUGCUUAAGGAUUUAAGGUAAUAUAAUAGGAUUGUCGCUUAGGUGCUGGUGUCAAAUCAAGUUAGCCUCUCCUUGCUUUAAGCCUCAUGUCAUAUUCUUCCUACAUUUGCAGAGUACAUUUUGAUAUACUCACCCUUCCUCUUUGUCCCCUACUACCCCAUCUAGAUGCAGGAGAUGAAGUGGAACACUAUGCUGAGGACGACGCCUUCAACCUUGAUGACGUGUACUAGGCUGGUGCUGCCCCUGGUCAAUCUUCCUGUGAAGAUGGAGCCUUUUUCACUAGAGUUUUAAUAAAGUUAUUGUAAAUUUCUUCCAGACCCACAAGUCAUUUUGUAAUGAAGUUUAACGUUUAAGUUUUGAACAUUGCAAUGAUACUAUUAUGACAUGUUCAUAUGUAUGAAUAAUUGAUCCUGGCAUACAUAUGAUGUGCA